UUGAAUCUCUAGACUUUUUCUAUCCUGCAGCCAAUCAUGCUUAAAGAAUUUGUCGUACGACACGUGUAAUAUACCGGCCUUACACACACGCGCAAGCGCAUGGUUUUGAAAGAUUGAUGGUCGUGGAUAGUCGUGUCGUUAGUUCAAGUAGACUGUGGUACCGUCUACACAGUUUUCAAAGAAACGAAUACCAAUAUCGACUGACUUGACUUGGCAUUAUUGACACGGUCUGCGUAUUAUCGAAGUGAGAGUGGUGAGGAAAAGCUGAUUAUGACAAUGCUAUGAAAAAAGUUUCUUUAGCAGACCAUAUAACUGAUAUUAGUGAUUCAGAAAAUGCAAAAAAAACUAGAAAAUCUCGUGCACAUCAUAUUCCAUCAUCAAGUGAGGAAUCUGAGAAUGAAAAACGUCCUCCAAAAAAAAGAUUUAAAAAUAUUAGAAGCGCCGCAAAAAAAAUAAUUGAACUCAACAUUCAAUAUCCAAAGUUUCCUUCAGCCUCUAGCAUCAUCAGAUCACCACUUACUAACAUUGAAAAUGAUAACCCAGUGUUGAGAAAACAUGAUAGAAACAUAUCAGUUGUACAAGAGGCAAAUACUUCCGUGAAAACAUACAACAUUACAGAUACUUCUAUAGACACAAAUCACACAUUUUUAACGAGUAGUGGAAAAAAUGAUUUCUUAAUUGAUAACGCAGAGUUGAGAAAACAUGAUAAUAACAUAUCAGUUGUACAAGAGACAAAUGCUUCCGUAAAAACAUCCAACGUUACAGAUAUCUUUACAGACAUAAAUCACACAUUUUUUACAACUGAUGAAAAAAUGAAUUAUUUAAUUGGACCUGUAGAAAUCAAAAUUAAUGACAAAAAGGAAGAUAAUAUUGCUGAUCUACUUCCAAUUAAAGACUUAGAACAACUGGAAAACUUUGAAAAAGAAUUACAAAAUAAGGAAAUUUAUAAUCAAAUGGUAACUAAAUUAUAGUAUCGAGGAGGAAAAAAUGUUGAUGAAAUUGUGAACAAAAUAAUGAGUCUAAUUUUUACUAAUUCUUUAGCGCGUAGCUAUAACUAUUUUGGGAAGAAAAAAAAGAAAGCAUUUUCUGAUUUAGUUUUAUGUAAAUGCAUUUUGGAUGCUAUUUAUCAUCAUAAAUUUGAUGUAAAAGAGGACUAUAUA